UACGUAUGUCACGAGCGUUAUCCGGAUUUAUUGGGCGUAAAGCGCGUCUAGGUGGUUAUAUAAGUCUGAUGUGAAAAUGCAGGGCUCAACUCUGUAUUGCGUUGGAAACUGUAUAACUAGAGUACUGGAGAGGUAAGCGGAACUACAAGUGUAGAGGUGAAAUUCGUAGAUAUUUGUAGGAAUGCCGAUGGGGAAGCCAGCUUACUGGACAGAUACUGACGCUGAAGCGCGAAAGCGUGGGUAGCAAACAGG
rnacentral:rRNA from 2 species